rnacentral:rRNA from 1 species
ACGCACGCUGGCGGCGUGCUUAACACCUGCAAGUCGAACGGAAAGGCCCUGCUUUUGUGGGGUGCUCGAGUGGCGAACGGGUGAGUAACACGUGAGUAACCUGCCCUUGACUUUGGGAUAACUUCAGGAAACUGGGGCUAAUACCGGAUAGGAGCUCCUGCUGCAUGGUGGGGGUUGGAAAGUUUCGGCGGUUGGGGAUGGACUCGCGGCUUAUCAGCUUGUUGGUGGGGUAGUGGCUUACCAAGGCUUUGACGGGUAGCCGGCCUGAGAGGGUGACCGGCCACAUUGGGACUGAGAUACGGCCCAGACUCCUACGGGAGGCAGCAGUGGGGAAUAUUGCACAAUGGGCGGAAGCCUGAUGCAGCAACGCCGCGUGCGGGAUGGCGGCCUUCGGGUUGUAAACCGCUUUCGCCUGUGACGAAGCGUGAGUGACGGUAAUGGGUAAAGAAGCACCGGCUAACUACGUG